rnacentral:rRNA from 1 species
CUCCUAAAGAGUAACGGAGGAGUACGAAGGUGCGCUCAGCGUGGUCGGAAAUCACGCGUAGAGUAUAAAGGCAAAAGCGCGCUUAACUGCGAGACCCACAAGUCGAGCAGGUACGAAAGUAGGUCUUAGUGAUCCGGUGGUUCUGUAUGGAAGGGCCAUCGCUCAACGGAUAAAAGGUACUCUGGGGAUAACAGGCUGAUACCGCCCAAGAGUUCAUAUCGACGGCGGUGUUUGGCACCUCGAUGUCGGCUCAUCUCAUCCUGGGGCUGAAGCAGGUCCCAAGGGUAUGGCUGUUCGCCAUUUAAAGAGGUACGCGAGCUGGGUUUAGAACGUCGUGAGACAGUUCGGUCCCUAUCUACCGUGGGCGCUGGAAAUUUGAGAGGAUCUGCUCCUAGUACGAGAGGACCAGAGUGGACGAACCUCUGGUGUACCGGUUGUGACGCCAGUCGCAUCGCCGGGUAGCUAUGUUCGGAAGGGAUAACCGCUGAAAGCAUCUAAGCGGGAAGCCUACCUCAAGAUAAGAUUUCCCUAGGACUUUAUGUCCUCUAAAGAGCCGUUCGAGACUAGGACGUUGAUAGGUUGGAUGUGGAAGCAUAGUGAUAUGUGAAGCUGACCAAUACUAAUUGCUCGUGAGGCUUGACUAUACAACACCCAAGCAGUUG